GUAUCGCUGUAGCUCAAGGGUAGAGCGCCGCAUUUACCAGUGACGCCGUGGUUGGCCGAGGAAUGCGGGGGUGCCGGUUCGAAUCCGGUCAGCUUCCACCA
rnacentral:tRNA from 1 species